UUAUAAGCAGUGUUUUGGGAUAAACACUUAUUAGUUUAUCGUUAUUGUGACAUAGGGCCGAGAUCAUCGGGAAUAGUUCUCCACUUGGGUUGGCCGAAUUGUAUGAACCUGGAUUAAAGGUGAUGCAAUUUUCCUAGCGACGUACUGGGCGUAAGUACGGGCGUCAGUGAUAUAUGAUGAGUACCGAGUGUAGGUACGGGCUCACCUGAUUAGGUGGUGUGAUUUUCCUGGCAACGUACUGGGCGUAAGUACGGGCGUCAGUGAUAUGAUAAGUAUCGGGCGUAGGUACGAGCUCGUCUAAUUAGACGAUGCGAUAUAUUGGUGCCAGAUUGUGGCACGGGCUCACCUGAUUAGGUGAUGCAAUUAUAUGAUAUAUGAGUGCAGGUGUUUGGCAUAGGCUCACCUGAUUAGGUGAUGCAGUUAUGCGACAUAUGGGUGCCAGGCUAUGGCACGGGCUUGCCUGAUUAGGCGGUACAAUACAAGAUCGUCAGAUUAAAGCAUCGACUUGCCUGAUUAGGCAACAUGAUGUCAUGAAGAUGGUUGCUUUAUGAGGUAAAGGCAAAGAAAAGCUAGAUCAACCAUGAGGUGGCAGUCUUCUCCAGCAAUGUACAUAUUGACCUCACUGGCCUGCGUGCCGAGUUGCCAGGAGUUGUUUUGGACUGGCUGUAUCUGCUGUGUAUUUUGAUUUUUUGUUUAAAUGGUUGUCGUAUAUAUUUCUUUAGCAAAACUUUUUAUAACAGGGAUUCCCGGAACACACUUUUUAUGCCGUUAUAAUGUCCGUUUUUAGUGUUUUAUUUUAGUGAAGUUUUUAAUAUUAUCACA